rnacentral:rRNA from 1 species
UACGUAGGUGGCGAGCGUUGUCCGGAUUUACUGGGCGUAAAGAGCGCGCAGGCGGUCGUUCAAGUCGCGUGUGAAAGCCCCCGGCUCAACUGGGGAGGGUCACGCGAUACUGAUCGACUCGAAGACAGGAGAGGGAAGUGGAAUUCCCGGUGUAGUGGUGAAAUGCGUAGAUAUCGGGAGGAACACCAGUGGCGAAGGCGACUUCCUGGCCUGUUCUUGACGCUGAGGCGCGAAAGCUAGGGGAGCAAACGGG